GAUGAACGCUGGCGGCGUGCCUAAUACAUGCAAGUCGAGCGAACGGACGAGAAGCUUGCUUCUCUGAUGGUAGCGGCGGACGGGUGAGUAACACGUGGAGAACCUACCUAUAAGACUGGGAGAACUUCGGGAAACCGGAGCUAAUACCGGAGAAUAUUUUGAACCGGAUGGUUCAAGAGUGAAAGACGGUCUUGGUGUCAGUGAGAGAUGGAUCCGCGCUGCAUUAGCUAGUUGGUAAGGUAACGGCUUACCAAGGCAACGAUGCCUAGCCGACCUGAGAGGGUGAUCGGCCACACCGGAACUGAGACACGGUCCAGACUCCUCCGGGAGGCAGCAGUAGGGAAUCUUCCGCCAUGGGCGAAAGCCUGCCGGAGCAACGCCGCGUGAUUGAUGAAGGUCUUCUGCUCGUAAAACUCUGUUAUUAGGGAAGAACAUAUGUUUAAGUAACUGUGCACAUCUUGACGGUACCUAAUCAGAAAGCCACGGCUAACUACGUG
rnacentral:rRNA from 1 species